AGUUAAAACUUUCAACAACGGAUCUCUUGGUUCUGGCAUCGAUGAAGAACGCAGCGAAAUGCGAUAAGUAAUGUGAAUUGCAGAAUUCAGUGAAUCAUCGAAUCUUUGAACGCACAUUGCGCCCAUUAGUAUUCUAGUGGGCAUGCCUGUUCG
rnacentral:rRNA from 1 species